rnacentral:rRNA from 1 species
GAUCUGGCUCAGGAUGAACGCUAGCGACAGGCUUAACACAUGCAAGUCGAGGGGCAUCAUGAGGUAGCAAUACCUUGAUGGCGACCGGCGCACGGGUGAGUAACGCGUAUGCAACCUGCCUGAUACCGGGGGUAUAGCCCAUGGAAACGUGGAUUAACACCCCAUAGUACUUUUAUCCUGCAUGGGAUGUGAGUUAAAUGUUUAAGGUAUCGGAUGGGCAUGCGUCCUAUUAGUUAG